rnacentral:rRNA from 1 species
UACGGAGGGUGCAAGCGUUAUCCGGAUUCACUGGGUUUAAAGGGAGCGUAGGAGGGCAGGUAAGUCAGUGGUGAAAUCUUCGAGCUUAACUCGGAAACUGCCGUUGAUACUAUCUGUCUUGAAUACCGUGGAGAUGAGCGGAAUAUGUCAUGUAGCGGUGAAAUGCUUAGAUAUGACAUAGAACACCAAUUGCGAAGGCAGCUGACUACAGGGAUAUUGACACUGAGGCACGAAAGCGUGGGGAUCAAACAGG